rnacentral:rRNA from 1 species
UGAAGCGGCAACAGCUCAAAUUUGAAAUCUGGCGUCUUUGGCGUCCGAGUUGUAAUUUGCAGAGGGCGCUUUGGCAUUGGCAGCGGUCCAAGUUCCUUGGAACAGGACGUCACAGAGGGUGAGAAUCCCGUACGUGGUCGCUAGCCUUUACCGUGUAAAGCCCCUUCGACGAGUCGAGUUGUUUGGGAAUGCAGCUCUAAAUGGGAGGUAAAUUUCUUCUAAAGCUAAAUACUGGCCAGAGACCGAUAGCGCACAAGUAGAGUGAUCGAAAGAUGAAAAGCACUUUGGAAAGAGAGUUAAAAAGCACGUGAAAUUGUUGAAAGGGAAGCGCUUGCAGCCAGACUUGCCUGUAGUUGCUCAUCCGGGUUUUUACCCGGUGCACUCUUCUAUAGGCAGGCCAGCAUCAGUUUGGGCGGUUGGAUAAAGGUCUCUGUCAUGUACCUCUCUUCGGGGAGAACUUAUAGGGGAGACGACAUGCAACCAGCCUGGACUGAGGUCCGCGCAUCUGCUAGGAUGCUGGCGUAAUGGCUGUAAGCGGCCCGUCUUGAAACACGGACCAAGGAGUCUAACAUCUAUGCGAGUGUUUGGGUGUCAAGCCCGAACGCGUAAUGAAAGUGAACGGAGGUGGGAACCUUUCGGGGUGCACCAUCGACCGAUCCUGAUGUCUUCGGAUGGAUUUGAGUAAGAGCAUAGCUGUUGGGACCCGAAAGAUGGUGAACUAUGCUUGAAUAGGGUGAAGCCAGAGGAAACUCUGGUGGAGGCUCGCAGCGGUUCUGACGUGCAAAUCGAUCGUCAAAUUUGGGCAUAGGGGCGAAAGACUAAUCGAACUAUCUAGUAGCUGGUUCCUGCCGAAGUUUCCCUCAGGAUAGCAGUAACGUUUUCAGUUUUAUGAGGUAAAGCGAAUGAUUAGAGGCCUGGGGGUUGAAACAACCUU